rnacentral:rRNA from 1 species
UACAGAGGGUGCAAGCGUUAAUCGGAAUUACUGGGCGUAAAGCGUGCGCAGACGGUUGCGUAAGUCAGAUGUGAAAGCCCCGGGCUCAACCUGGGAAUUGCGAUGGAGACUGCAAGGCUUGAAUCUGGCAGAGGGGGGUAGAAUUCCACGUGUAGCAGUGAAAUGCGUAGAGAUGUGGAGGAACACCGAUGGCGAAGGCAGCCCCCUGGGUCAAGAUUGACGCUCAUGCACGAAAGCGUGGGGAGCAAACAGG